ensembl:lncRNA
UAUAUAUAUAUAAAAAACAGGUCCUCUAAUGCUAUAAUUUAAAUUGAAUUAUUAAUGUUAACAAUAUGAAACUGUACAUCUUUGUAUACAUGCUGUAUAUGUGAAUAGCAGUCCUUGUUGUGUAUUUCCACUUACAUUGUUUUCAGUAUUUAAAUUUCUAACCAUGCCCAUGUGGUCAGUAGAGAUUUACAGACAAUUUGAAAAAUGUACCAGAGCCGGGCUUCUUGUCCGCGGGGAAAAUCUAACAUUAAUCUAACAUUUUGUUUCCUCAAAGCAAGCUCAGCUGUUAUUUAUUGAUUAGCCUAUGAUGAACUGAGCAUAGGCUUUUUUUUUAUUAUUUCAAAAUCAAUAACUAAUGCAUAAAUAUACUGAAUUUAAUAUAUACUUACAGAACGGUAUGCAUAAGAUGUUUUAAAUCAUAUUUGAUUUUAUGGAAUGCCACCUUCCCCCACAACAUGAACAUACUGCAGAUAUGAUUAUAUGUCUUUGUUUUGUCACAUAGCCGACAAAACACCGUGACAGAGGUUGUGUUCGGUGUUAUGCAGUGCUGUGUUUUUGACAUUCACGGUGCCUUUCGGAUAGGAAAAGAAUUGUGUGUCUAGUUUGAAAAUACCUGAUAUGUAUAGCUAUGUGCAGCACAUCGUUAGUUGGAACUGGAAUAGAGUUUACCACAGAGUGAGAUGAUUACGUCUAUUUCAGGCUGAGCUUGCUUUGGAGAAACCAGAUUAGCAUGAUGUAACAUUACGUUUUUGCGUAUAUAAGUGUUGUCCAGCCCCAGAUGGAUUUUCCUGCAUCAUCCUAUGUUUGGAAUUAGCUGAUACAUGUGUAAGAAACACAGAAAGGUUCAUGUGUGUUAGUCCUAAGGCUUGGAAUGGGAAUCUCUUGGUCAGUAAAAAAAAAAAAAAGAAGAAGAGAAAACGCCUUGUAUACAAUAAGCUUAAGUAUAUAAUGGUGAUGCUCUUUAACUUGUAAUAUCUGUGGAUGUUUGAAUGUACUGAAGAGUUGUUUUUUUUUUUUUUUAAAUCAAUGUGAUUAUCACAAUGUCCGCUCAUUAACAGUCUAUUAAAAUCUGACAGGUUUGAAGUAAUUUGUUGUCACACUACUGGCUGAUGUGUGUGAUCACCUACACAGAAAUACUCUCAAUGAAACAGGUAUAUAUCAAAUGGUUUUACUUCACCCCGAUGUUCUGUCAGGUCAGUAUGGAAAUUAAAAUUUCUUGUGGUUAAUGAUCAGUAUUGUAUAAUUAAGCUUGACAUUAUAUAGUAAGAUAUGUUGCCUUGUCAAAUUAUAUCGUUUAACUACAGGGUGUCAAAAAAGUCUCCAUACAUAGGGGAAAUGAACACUUUUUAGCACAAUGUCUUCCAAAAUUGUUUAUACAUAGUUUAUAUUAUAUAGCCUUAUAUAUUUAUAUCAGAUAGCUUAAAAAAAAAACACAAAAGAAGAACGUAUUGAAAUCAUUCUCAUGGCUAGAUCUGGAAGCUGUCGCAAGGUUAUGAUUUGAUUUUAACAGGAAACAGGACAAACACAUAACUCACGACACUGUUGCCAAACUCACCCUGUAGUUAUUACUCCAAUUUUUUCUGUAGUAUAUCAAGCAAACUUAAAAAGAGCAGGCCAAGGAAGUCAUAACAGUGUUCAUCUAGUCAGGAGAAUUUUGCAUUUAGUGGAUUUAGACAGAACACGGGAGUUAAAUCUAGUCCUCAAAUGGCUAGUGUAGCUACAGGUUUUAAUUCCCACUAAGCAGGAGCACAC